ensembl:lncRNA
AUGCUGUUGCCAGAAGACGUUGUCUGUGUUGAGCAGGGUGCUCAGCUCAGCUAAGCUCUCCACGAGAUGCGAAAUAUCUACUGAGUGAUGGCAGAAACAAAACCCAAGAACCUCUGGGAACUGAAAAAGCCUGAAUGUUCACUUCAGGUUCGCAUUCAGGAACAUCACUUGUUGCGCCUUGGAGGGAGACAGACGGCUGCGCCUCUCUGAAAUGAUCAGCCCCAUCCUGCUGAACACGCGUUCAGAUGGCACUGACGUGGCGACCACAGACAAUCUCUCCAGCAUCAGCUGAGUGAGCCGCGGAUAGAUCAACGAUCUACUUUUCCACCAGGUCAGAGGGUUGGAGGACCUAGGGAUCAGUGCCUCUUGCAGGAAGGACCGGAUCUCGAGGGUCGCUUCCGCACCUGCACUAAGGUGACUAACGAGCCCUGAGACCUGCUCGUCAAAGUCACCCCAGACCAUGCUCUCCUCUGUGGCUUGUCCCCCCGCAGCUCCUUCUUCCACCAGAGCUUCCUGCUGGGAUGGAUUGGAGAUGGUCACCUGUGCUGCAGCAGUUGUGAGCCUUUGGAUGGCCUCGGUGGCUGCCUGGUCAUCAGAGAAGGACUUCCUCUUGAAUCUGGGGUCAAGGAUGGAGGAUUCAGACAGCAAGGCGUUGAACUCGAUCCUAUGGAAACGCUUUGCCAUCUCAGCGUUGAGUGAGGUUAAAAGUGACACCACCACAGGCUGCUUGAAGCAUCCAAACCUCAGGUGGUUUGCAUGACCCUCUGCAGACCCCGUGCCAAAAUAAUGAUUUUGGAGGCAGUCACGUAGCUACAGAUAGGACACAGAAAGGACAGAGUUACAGUGGGUCAUCUUUGUUAUGUGGAACCUUUUUUAAAUGUGUUAUAAAUAAAAUAUUUAUGAAUUUGUUUAUCUAUUUAUCAUCCAUGUAUUUAUGUAUUUAUUAAAAUACUAUGUAUGUAUAUCUAUUUAUUGAC